AGCUACUUAAAAGGCAAAAUAACAUCUAGGGCAGCCUGUACUUAGAGGCACAGCCUGGAGCUGGCAUGACUGAGUGACAAUGGAGACCAGGAUUCUUACCUCCAAAAACUAAAAGUCAGUAUGGUAUGGGAGGCAAAUAUCCAAAUCUCAGGACAGAAUAUGGUGUGCACAAUGAAGAAAUGCAAGAGCCUCUCAGAACCAAAGAAUGGCACGUGCUGGAGGUGGGAGAGAACAACAGAAAAGAUUUAUUCAAGAGGUAGAACUUGCAUGCGCUGCUGUGGAUGGGUAGGAUUCUGAAAGUUGGGUAAGCAAGCCAGGUACAAAGCAGAGGCACAAAGACAGGAAGCAAAGCUCAUUCCAGUUAAAUAGUGGUUCAGUGUGAUUGGAGCAAAGGUUAGUGUAGAAGAAUUAACACAGCUAAUGCUUACUUAGUGCUUACUGCAUACUAAACACUGUCCUAAGAACAGUAAAGGUAUUUCUUCAGGUAAUUAUAGCAACCAUAAGGGAGAGAUAGUGUUAGCCCCAUUGUAUGGAUGAGCACUGUAGGCACAGACAGGUUGAGUAAAUUACCCAAUAUCAUUCAACAAGUGACUGAAGUAAAAGCUGAACACAAAAUAGUGUCAUUCAAGAAUACAGGGCUAUGGGUGUGGCUUAGUGAUAGAGUAUUUGCCUAGCAUGUGUGAGGCCCUAGGUUUAAUCCCUAACAUUAAAAAAAAAAAACUUGCUCUGGAGAGUGGUACACACUUUUAAUCCCAGCUACCUGGAAAACUGAGGCAGGAGGAUUGCAAGUUUGAGGCCAGUCUCAGUAACUUGACAAGACCGUGUAUCUGAAGGAAGGAAGGAAGGAAGGAAGGAAGGAAGGAAGGAAGGAAGGAAGGAAGGAAGGAAGGAAGGAAGGGACAG
rnacentral:lncRNA from 1 species